UGCAGGAGGAGGCUGCCAGCACACCCACGCCCCUUGCGACGCGUUCUCCAUGGCAGCAGCCAAAGCUGCAGAGAAGUGAGCAUGACCGGAACUAAGUGGGCUUGCAGAAUCACAGGCCCCUCAGAGAUUUGCAGGGCAGACAGCAAAGAAAAGGAGGCCAGAGGCCUGUGGCAGCCUGUCCCCAAGCCACACAGCCAGGAGAUGGCAGGGCUGGGACCAGCGGGACAGCCAAGGAGAUGGAAAGAUCAGAUGACAUUGAAAAUAUUCACAGCCAGCCUGGCUGGGGCCUGGGCAGUCAGAACAAACACCCCUGGAGGCAUUGGACCCCAGCAGGUGCCCUCGGAGUGCACAUGAGCUGAUGGAUCCUCAGCCUUGGUGACAGUUGUGAAGAAGAGGAGUGGUAGGGAAUGGGGAAAUACGGUGAGUGCAAACUCUGUCUCCCUGUCAUCACACCCCAUGCCUAACAGACAUUAUCGCAUUUCACUCUCACAAUCAGACUUUUAAAGCAGGGGAUGUCAUUAGCUCCAUUUUACAUAGGAGGGCCCUCCAGCUUCAUUAGGGUAAAUAACUUGCUCAUCUAAAAGAGAACAGAGACAGGAGUCAGCCCUUGUUCUGCCGGGGUGCCAAAGGGGAGGGAGCUCUGGGCCCACCCCGACUGCUGCCCCCACUCCCCUGCCUGCCCAGCUCUCACUUGCUGCACACAGGAGGCCAUGCUUGAUGUGAGCUCCUGCACCCGACAAGGGCCAGCCCUGUGUGGGCCUGUGGAAAGCCCCACUCCGUGCUGCCUUCUACCCCUUAGGAUUUUGACCUAAGCUCCUGGGCCUCCUGUGGCCACAGGGCAUGGCCUGAGCCGGACACCCUGAGCUGAGAGCGGCUGUGGCAGGCCCAGAUUUACGGCUUUGUUAUUCCUGUGUUUUGGAGAUUUUACAGCCCCGCGCUCCCUCGAGAACCCUGUGCUUUCUCUAGGACAUAUCAGUCAGACGGCGGAGGAAAUAUCCCAAAUGCUGGGAACAUCCUGUGUCACGGUGUCUCCCGGGCCCAGGCGACAUGUGGAGAGCUCUUUCUGGUGUUGGAAAAACACAGUGGAGCCGUUCAUAAUGCUGGUGUUAAGGGGCAGAAGAAAUGCCCCCUUGGUGACAGACAUCCCCAUGUCCAGGCUCCAGUGCAACCUGGGACUCUGAGCCGGCACAUGACAUCCAUGAGGAUGAGCUCCGUGCAAGCCAGGACUUCCCCCGCACAGGACUCUCCCCUGGAGCAGCCACAGCAAAGCACCUAGAACAUGUGGCUGUAACAGCAAGUGGGUUUCCAGAUCCCGGAUCUCCUCCACCUGCUUCAUCUGAUUUGAAUCACCCAACAGCACUGUACCCAGGGGAUUACACGCCAUUCCCAUUUCAGGGAGUGAAACUGAAGCAAUGCUCUUCUGUAGCUCAGAGGCUUUGCAAAUGCUGUUCCUCCUGCUCAGAUUACUUUUCAAUGUGACCAUGAUAAAGUGGGCCAGAGUGAAGCAUGUAAAGCACUUAGAAGCCCUGAGCCACCGUUUAAGAAGCCUGGCUGCCCUGAAGCCACCGCCAGGAGAGAGAAGCCUGAGACGCCCCGGCAACCCGCAGCCCAGCCAUUUGAGACAUUCCAGCCCAGAUGCCCGGAGAAAAAGGCUUUCAGAUGAGCCCAGGCCCAGCCACCAUCUCAUGCAGCUGGUGAGAGAUCCUGAUUGAGACCCACAAUGCUGACCCCAGGCAAGACCUGGAUUGGGGAGCCACUGUUUGGGGGUGUUUUGUUACACAGCAAUAGCUGAGCCCCCCUUGCACUCUAGGGCCCUUGAGGAGAGGGUGACCAAAGCUGACAAAUUGACGUAAAGAGACCAUGCCCCAGCUGAGCCGCCCUCAGUAAGAGCCUUGUGGGGACUAUGACUUCUGGUUUCAGCAGCAUUUCAGGAAACGCCGGUGACAAGGCUUUGGGAAGGGUGAUGACAGCGAGGGCAGGGAUGCUUGACUCUCCAGACAGUGACGAUUCAGGCGGGAAACAGCAGCUACUUUGCUACAGGGAUCCACGAAAGUGUCCAAGGAGGAGACGAGGCCGUGGCUGAGUGCACAGUGGGCACCCGGUGGAGGGGGGUUCACGUGCAUUGUCACUUCUGCUCUCCCACCGCCCUGGGAGUCAGGCACGAUUAGAACUCCAUCUCUGGAGAGGAGGCUGGGAGAUGUAGAAUAACUCAUCCAGGACACAGCCUGUAACUCCUGGAGCUUGGAUUUGAACAAGCGCUUCGUGGAGCACAAAGAAGACUGGUAGGAUGGACAGUGGAUGAACGACGUUCUCAGUCUGUCCCCGGGAUCCGGGUCAUGCACAGACCUCACACUCCACAUGCAGAGUAACAAAGCAAAGCCUCCUUUGUAAGAGAGUGAGAGUACAAUGAGUUCAUGCUUGGAAGGAAGCACCAGGCAGGUCCCUGCACACGGUGGGCCCCUUAAGCAGGAGCUGAGUUCAGUGUCUCCUCUGCUGCUCACAUCAUCCCUGCAAUGCGGGCUUCCUAAGCCCUCCUUUUCUCUAGGCUGCCAUUUACUGAACCACACUCUGUGCCAAGCAAGAUGCUAAAGGCUUUCUACGCACUUCUUCCUGAGCUCUCACAACAAUCCUAUUGACAGGUGCUCCAACGAUCUCCUUUUUGCUAAAGAGUUAACCGAGGCUUAGUGAGAUUGAGUGGCAUCCUUGGUCCCCAGAGAGCAUGUGGUCCUGAUUUGAACCCAGCAACGAUCCCAAGCUCGCUCGGCUCUGACCUCACUUCCGCACACCACACUCGUGGAAGCUUUUAUUGUACCCCUCAUAAGACGGAGAAACCGAGGCUCUGGGAGGGCAAAUGGCGUGGCCAAGCACCCCAGGCCAACCCUGGUGGGCGGCUUGUACUCGACUUGAAUCCUCCUGUCUGAAAUAUGCAUUCCACUCUUCCCCACAGGACCCAAUGCAGCAGUUCCGGAAGGAGGAAUUCUGGCCCCCAUUUGCCAUAGUUGGAAAGCAGAUUCAUGUUGCAUUCCCUUUGCCAAUUUGCUUGCAGCGGGUUGAUGAGGAGCAGCUCCCAGCUUGUCCCAGCCUUCAUGUGGUAGGGGCUUCCAGCAACCACCCCCCCCGCCCCAGCAAGGUCCUCACAGCGCCCCAACACUGUGGGGCUGUCCCAGCACUGAGGCGAUUAGCAGAAUGAUAGCAGCCAGCUGCUCGCUCCGUCUGCGAGACAGACCAGAGCUGCUUGAGUGACACACUUGCAAGCUUCACCCACGUUCCUCUCCCGGAAUCACCGGGGCGGCCAAACCCCAGGAAUCUGCCUGCUUGAAGGAAUCAAAUCCACCGUUUCACUGCCCACGCUCAGGACCCGGAGGGUCUCCUGAAAUAAGGUUCAUGAGGCGGCCUCUGGAUUUGAUUACAAGGAAAUCUGUUCCCCAUCUCAACCCCUCAACUCUCUCUGCCCUCGACUGCAGGAAUGUGACGCCGGCUGAUUUCUCAGCAACUCCCGCGUUUCUUGCAGACACUGGACCUGGAGCCAACUUUCUACCUGGCUUGUGCGAUUCAUAAAUUACAGUGCAAUCAAAAGACACAUUCAGAAACUGCUGGAGGUUUCAAUGAGUGAGCAUAUCAGUUUCCCAGGACAACAAACUGCCACACACUGGGGGGCUUACAACAGCAGAAACUUACUCUCUCACGUUCUGGAGGCCACAAGUCCCAAAUCCAGACAUCGGCAGGGCCGUGCUUCCUGCGGUGGCUCUAAGGGAGGGCCCUUCCUGCCUCUUCUGACUCCUGGUGGCCCCCAGGUAUUCCAUGGCUUGUGGCUGCAUCGCUCCAAUCUCCGCCUCCAUCUUCACGUGGCCUCUUCUCGCUGUGUGCUUCUUGUCUGUGUGUCUCCUAUAAGAACACAUGUCAUUGGGUUUACGGCCCAGCCAGGUAAUCCAGGGUGAUCUCACCUUGAGCUCCUUAACUUCACCACGUCUGCACAGGUGCUCUUUCUGAAUGAGGUCAGCUUCACAGACUCUAGGGAUGACUUGGAUUUAUUUGUUGGAGGGCCACCCCUGGACCGUAUACAGUGAGCUUUAUUCUUCCUUCUGAGGACAUGAAGAAAGGGCCCUUGCCUCCCGGCCUGUCCCUGGAGAAGAAGAACUGACCUGGGCAGGGGGCAAGGAGGUGGAGAGGAGCUCCACCCUCAGCUGUGCCAUGCCCUUAGGAAGCCUUGAUCUCAGUCCCCACCUGCCCUGAUCUCAGAGCUGGGACUUCAUUAGGAACCCCAUCUGACCAACGCCCAGCCUUCUCUGAGUUUACACGCCAGAGGAGGAGCUGGACACUAAAUGAACACAACAAAAGAUGGAUAGAUAAAUACGUCACAUGGUGACAAAUGCCGUGAAAGAAAAUGCAGCAGGGUCAGGGAUAAAGAAUGAUGGGUCAAGGCCUCCUCCUGGGCUGGGGAUGAGGGCAGAAGGAGACCACGGGCACCAAGCCACUCACUUGGAGCCCGGGAUCAACCAAACCCCGGAGCCCAGGAUCAACCAAACCCUGGGUGCACAGGAGACACUGACACCAUUGGGUCUCAGAGGAGACUGACUUCUAGUCCUCAUUCUGCUACUAACCAGCCCCAAGACAGGGCAAGUUGCCUCCCUUUUCUAACUCUCAAACUUCUCCUCCCUAAAGCGGGAUUGGUGUCACAAAUGAGUUGAUGUACCUAGAAGGCUCGGCACACACCCGGGGACCAGCCCUCAGCAAAUAGUGGUGACUGUCACCUCCGUCCCUGAGUUCCAAUGUCCUCCAAGGUACCUCGUUCCCUCCAGCUCUAGCCUUCUAUUCUCCACCCCCGACCUGGCUCCUCCAUGUCUCCAACCACUGACCAAGGACCCCUGAUUAUUCCUUCCAUGUUCAGCGGUGCUGGGUGGGUGGAUGCAGAGGUAGCUGGGCUGAUGUUGUGGCUGUGUGACCAGCUGCAAACCAGGAGAGGCUCCCGGAACACCCGCUGCCUUGGUGGGGUGCCGGGCUUUGAUAGGCUGCCAGGAGCGAUAGCCAGGCCUGUUUGCUUUGCCUUAUCGGAGUGUUUUUCACCAGCAUUGCCCCAUCCCCUCUGUUCCCUCAUGGAGGUUAUCAGCCGCACAUCCGCUGCAGGGGUGAAGCCCCACGGGUAACCUUUCCCACGCCUGCCUCUCUGUGCCCAAGCCCAAGCCCCUUCCUAACACCAGGUCCCUGCUCUUCUAGAGCGUCUCCCCAGAAAGGGUGAGCUUGGAAAGAAGACUCCCACUCCCUUAGAAUUGGCUCUUUCCGAAGUACUCCAGAACUCAUCACUUCCAAGAAAAACCCUGGGGAUGCGGACGCUGGAGGUGGGAAGCCUAGAUGUUCUCUGCUACCAAGAGACCAGCACGUGAAAACCCACUGUGGCAUCCGCUUUCUGAGGCUGCCAUAACAAAGAACCACAGGCUUGGGGGCUUCAACAACAGGAACGUAUUCUCACGUUUCUGUAGGACCCAGGUCCAAGAACAGGGUGUCAGCAGGGCAGGCUCCCCGUGGGCUGUGAGGGGACUCUGUCCCAGGCCUCUCGGGGCGUUGGGUGUGUCAUGGGUUCUUUGGCCUCCUUUGACUUGUAGAUGCAUGGCCCAAUCUCUGCCUCCAUCUCUGUGAAGGCUUCUCCCGGGGUGUGUAUACCUCUACCCACGUACCCUUUGUAAGGACACAGCCAUAUCAGAUUAAUGACCUCAUCUUAACUUGACUACAUCUGCAAAGAUCCUAUUUUCAAAUAAGGUUACAUUCACAAGUACUGGCAUUAAGACUUCUAUGCCUUUUAAAGGGACACAAUUGAACCAAUAACUUUUCAAUACUACAUCCAAGCCCUGCCCCACCCCAGAUCAGCUACAGCAGCAUCUCUAAGGGAAGCCAGGUUGGUCUAGGGUGGAUCCAACUGAACCACUGCCCCCGUCCAACAGACACAGGGAAACUAAGGCCCCCAAAGUAGACAUGAGAUGCCUAGUGGCACAGGUGCCUUGGGGCUGAGGCCUCCUCCCUCCUGGUUCGUGCCGCAUCCUCAGCAGCAGGCCAGGGGCGAGGACUGUGCUCGAAUCUGCAGGGAGGAGGAUGAGCUCCCACCGCCGAGCCCCAGAGCUGACCUUGGUUUACGAGUUUCCUGAGUCAGUGUCUGCAUCCGUGUGCUUUCAGCUUCACAACCCAUAUGGCACAUGGGCGGUAUCGCCCCAUUCUCUCCAGGUGGAAACUAAGAUUCAGAGAGGCAGAUGCACUUGCUCAAGGAAGCACAGCUAGCUAGGGGCUGCAGGGCGAUGGGAAGGAAGGAUUCAAACCCAGGCCCAUCCAGCCCCACAGCCUGAACCACUUCCCCAAACAGUGCUGCCCAGGAAACCCAAGCCCACCCGUGCUUCUCUGCCAUAAAUGGUAAGGAACGCAUUUCGCAGGAUGACUGAAAUCCUCCUGUGACCACUUCUAGAAUGGCUGGGCUCAGAGUGAGGCUGACCCAUGGUCUGCUCCCAGCUCUGCCACUUACCAGCUGUGUGGCCUGGGGCAAGUCACUUUACCUCUCUGUGCCUCAGUUUCCUCAUCUGUAUAAUAGGCUGGAAAAUAGUGUCUACCAGUGAGGAUGCUGGCGGAUUGUAUGGUCCCUGGGGAAAUGCUGGAGAGGACUGUUACCUCCAGGGCAAUGUGUGGCUCUGGCAGGGACUGGGUGCAGCUGUCCCUCAGCUGCUCACCCCUAAUUUAUGUUUAGGGUGAGGCCCCAUCCCCAUCCCCUCUUGCCCCCACCCCCGCCACAACCACAUGAUAUCUUACUCCCAAGGCUUGUCAGGGCCACUAGUAUGGUGAUAAAUCUCCCGCUGGCCCCUGCCUGCCCUCCCUCUAGCCUCUCCGCAGAGACCAAGUUGUUAUAAAUGUGUCCGGCCUCGUGAAACCGAACCCUGCCAUGCCCCGCAACGGUGGCGGCAUCUUAGCCGCCAUUGCCUUAUCUGAUUGGAAACCAGUCCCUGCAUUCCCCUUCCUGGGGCUCCGGGGGAGGGUCUUGCUGCUGAUUCUAAUCUGGGGAACGCCCCCAGGACAGGCAGGGCUCCACAGCAGGGCCAGGUGUGAGCUGCAGCAGGCCACAGGCCUGACAAAAUUGGAGGCAAAGAGGUGAGGAGCCACAACCAACCCCAGCCCCAGCCCGUGCUCGGGAUCUGUCGUGCCACGUGUUUUGGGCAGUGAUGACAUUCUUGUCUUGUUCGCUUGUAAAAGGAACUUAUUUGCUUAUAUAACAGAACGGCCACCCUAGUGUCAUUUGGGAGUUUCAGGUAGGGUUUCCUCCAGAGUUCAAACAGUGUCUCCAGAAACGGACUUUUCUCUCCACUCCUGGACACUGUCACCUGGGUUGGGGCUCCCACGUCUGGCCUUGUGUAGCCAGCAGGUGCUGCCAGCCGCCCCUGGCACCGCACGGCUCCCGAUGUCAGUGCUGCACGAAAGAGUGAAUGUGCUCGUCCCAGCACCCCCAGCCAAAGCCCAGAGACACCCUCGUAUUGAUCUGGCCUGUACCUGUACUCUUGCUUGGCCGGGGGAAAGGCUUUUGCCAGACUUAGAUGCUUCUAAAGUAUCUGAAAUUUUAGCAGCCCCAGCAUUUUGGGAUUCGAAGGGCCCACAUGUAAAGUAAAUAUGAGCUCAAGGGUUUGGGGUGUUGGAAGAAAAGCAGGAAGACUUCAGGGCACUCAGGAAAGCCAGGGACAGCAUCUCUGAUUGACUGAGCCUGAAUACUGGCCAGGAACCACACUUCACAGGCACUGGGUCACAAACCCGAACAGCAAGGACAUUAAUGACCCAAUCCACAGGUGAGGAAACCAGGAGGUGAGGAAGGCAUCUGCCCAGCUACAGUGUGUUAUCUUGGUCUGAGAGCAGAACCACCGGAAGCAAAGAACACCCUGGAACUGGAGGUCCAGGACACGCUGGAGACGCGAGCAGGAGCAGCAGGUGUCACGGGCUGUGCAUGUCUCCUGCAGCUGCUCAAACAAAUGACCACAACCUGGGAGGCUUAAAACCACAAAAGCUUACUCCCUCGCAGAAAGCCGAAGUCCGGCUGAAGUCUGAAGUCUGAAGUCCAAAAUGAAGCCUAGAAAGUCCGAAAUGAAGGUGUCUGCAGGGCCGUGCUCCCUCCAGAGGCUUGGGGAGAGGACCCUUCCUUCCUCCUCCAGCUUCCACUGGCCCAGGUGUUCCUCGGCUUGUGGCUGCAAUCUCCUGUCUCUGCCUCUGUCUUCACGUGGCCUCCUCCUGGUGUGUCUGGGUCUCACAUCUUUCUCUGCCUCUCUUAUAAAAGCACUCAUGACUGUGCAGUCCAGGAUGCUGUCAUCUUAAGAUCCUUGAUGUAAUCACAUCAGCAAAGACCCUUUACCCAAUCAGGUCACAUUCACAGGCUUCAAGGAUUUCAUGUGGAUAUUUUAGGACAGACCAUUUUUCAGCCUACCACACAUGCACACACACAGUGAAAAUAAAAAUGCUUUGCAACUGGUGCAGAUCACAAAAGUAGCUGCUAGUGCUGAGGACAGAAAGUUGCAUUAGAGUUUGGCCCUCUGGUAUAUGAACUUUCUGAACAGAAAACUGUAUUGAACAAAGGACACUAGGCCGCCAUGAUGGAAUGCUUCCCACAGGCUGGUUGUCAUCUGCUUUGUGGCUCUUACCUGCUUUCCAAGGUGGACUCUAUGCACCCACUUUACUGAUGCAGAAACGAAGACUCAGAGACUCAUUGUUUGCCCAAAAGCAGAGUGGGGAUUACUACGUUGAAUGCCAUCGGACUCAGAACCUGCAUCCUUCACAGUACAUCAUGCUGUUCCUCUUGCUUGAAAACCUAUCACUGUGAACUAAUGUGAAAACCCAUCACUGGAAUAUGAUCUAAUACUCAUGCCGUGCACCAGCGCACCCGAGCACUCACGGCCUGCCAGCUCAUGGUUAGCACUUCUGUGCUUUCACAGAUUCAACAAACAUUGAAGACAUGCUCCAUAGAGCCAGGCAUUGUGGCAGUGUGGAGAAGGGGGGACAUUUUUCUCUACCCUGGAGGAACUCAGAAUCUGAUAGUAAAAUAUGACUGCUGUAACCCAUGCAACCCCGUAAAAAUCUUACAAAGUCGCUAUGAUAAGAUUGCUGUGCCAGUGAUGAGGACACUGGGGUUCAGAGAAGCCCUCGGCUUGGGAACAGCACAGCCGGGACUUGCCAAUAUGACUAGGUCCAGAGCAUAUUACUCCUCUCCCUACCUUGUCCUCUUUCAAUGAUUGGUGGCUGUGUUUUGUUUAAAGAGUGUGAAUUACAGGAAAAAAACAAAAGGCAAAA